rnacentral:rRNA from 1 species
AUUGAACGCUGGCGGCAGGCUUAACACAUGCAAGUCGAGCGAAGCCUUCGGGCUUAGCGGCGGACGGGUGAGUAACGCGUGGGAACGUGCCCUUUGGUACGGAAUAGCCCCGGGAAACUGGGAGUAAUACCGUAUGUGGUCGAGAGACGAAAGAUUUAUCGCCAAAGGAUCGGCCCGCGUUGGAUUAGGUAGUUGGUGGGGGAAUGGCCUACCAAGCCGACGAUCCAUAGCUGGCUUGAGAGGAUGAUCAGCCACACUGGGACUGAGACACGGCGCAGACUACUACGGGAGGCAGCAGUGGGGAAUCUUAGACAAUGGGGGAAACCCUGAUCUAGCCAUGCCGCGUGAGCGAUGAAGGCCUUAGGGUUGUAAAGAUCUUUCAGUGGGGAAGAUAAUGACUGUACCCACAGAAGAAGCCCCGGCUAACUCCGUGCCAGCCGCCGCCGUAA